CCUACGGGUGGCAGCAGUCGAGAAUCAUUCACAAUGGGGGAAACCCUGAUGGUGCGACGCCGCGUGGGGGAAUGAAGGUCUUCGGAUUGUAAACCUCUGUCAUGUGGGAGCAAAUUAAAAAACUAGUACCACAAGAGGAAUAGACGGCUAACUCUGUGCCGAGAGCCGCGGUAAAACAGAGGUCUCAAUCGUUGAUCUGAAGCACUGGGCGUAAAGCGUGCGUAGGCUGUUUCGUCAGUCGGGUGUGAAAGGCGCGGGCUCAACCCGCGGCCGGCACAUGAUACUGCGAGACUAGAGUAAUGGAGGGGGAACCGGAAUUCUCGGUGUAGCAGUGAAAUGCGUAGAUAUCGAGCGGAACACUCGUGGCGAAGGCGGGUUACUGGACAUUAACUGACGCUGAGGCACGAAGGCCAGGGGAGCGAAAGGGAUUAGAUACCCUUGUAGUC
rnacentral:rRNA from 1 species